AUUGAACGCUGGCGGCAUGCCUUACACAUGCAAGUCGAACGGCAGCACGGGUGCUUGCACCUGGUGGCGAGUGGCGAACGGGUGAGUAAUACAUCGGAACGUACCUUAUCGUGGGGGAUAACGCAGCGAAAGCUGUGCUAAUACCGCAUACGCCCUGAGGGGGAAAGCGGGGGAUCGCAAGACCUCGCGCGAUUAGAGCGGCCGAUGCCUGAUUAGCUUGUUGGUGGGGUAAAAGCCCACCAAGGCGACGAUCAGUAGCUGGUCUGAGAGGACGAUCAGCCACACUGGGACUGAGACACGGCCCAGUCUCCUACGGGAGGCAGCAGUGGGGAAUUUUGGACAAUGGGGGCAACCCUGAUCCAGCAAUGCCGCGUGAGUGAAGAAGGCCUUCGGGUUGUAAAGCUCUUUUGUCAGGGAAGAAACACCGGCUCUAACACAGUCCGGGAAUGACGGUACCUGAAGAAUAAGCACCGGCUAACUACGUGCCAGCCGCCGCUGUAA
rnacentral:rRNA from 1 species